rnacentral:rRNA from 1 species
AGUGAACGCUGGCGGUAGGCCUAACACAUGCAAGUCGAACGGCAGCACAGUAAGAGCUUGCUCUUACGGGUGGCGAGUGGCGGACGAGUGAGGAAUACAUCGGAAUCUACUUUUUCGUGGGGGAUAACGUAGGGAAACUUACGCUAAUACCGCAUACGACCUACGGGUGAAAGCAGGGGAUCUUCGGACCUUGCGCGAUUGAAUGAGCCGAUGUCGGAUUAGCUAGUUGGCGGGGUAAAGGCCCACCAAGGCGACGAUCCGUAGCUGGUCUGAGAGGAUGAUCAGCCACACUGGAACUGAGACACGGUCCAGACUCCUACGGGAGGCAGCAGUGGGGAAUAUUGGACAAUGGGCGCAAGCCUGAUCCAGCCAUACCGCGUGGGUGAAGAAGGCCUUCGGGUUGUAAAGCCCUUUUGUUGGGAAAGAAAAGCAGCAGGUUAAUACCCCGCUGUUCUGACGGUACCCAAAGAAUAAGCACCGGCUAACUUCGUA